CCCAUUCUGCCUCUUUCUGCUCUGACCAAACUGCCCACGCGUGGCCCGAGGAUGUGACCACCCACAGAGCAUCCAGGAUGGUGUGCAAGGCAUGGAUGAAUGUUUGGGAAGCUGGGGAGCACUGGGACAUGGAAGGACACCCCAGGGACUCCCCAGGUCAGCCUGGGGUGCACAGAGUGCUGAGCUGGUUAUCUCCUGGGCUGAUAGCAGCAUUCCACGUGCUGGAAUGUGUGGGUUCAUUUGCAGAUGAUUAAUUUUAGAUGAUACGUUGAACUUAACGGGACGAUAAUUCAGUGGUAAUAAUUCAGUGGUAAUAAUUCAGUGGGAGGCUGAGGCUGGGGGCAGCAGGGGCAGGCAGCCAUGCCCUGGGGCAGAGGGAGCUGGUUCCUGGGAGAUGAUGGGACCUGUAGGGAGCCUUCUUUUCUUUAUCCUUCCCUCCCAUCCCCAUCCCCACCCCUGCAGCCAGAGCUGCUCCUCAUUUUUGGGUGGUUUUGCUGAGGAAACGGGGCUUGUGCAGGCACAGGUGUGGGAAGGAUGUGGGGUUUGGGAUGGAAAUGCUGCAGGUGGGGUGGGGCAGCCUCUGAGGAGGGAAUCUGGGGCUUCCGUGAGGAUCUGAGAGGUGCUGAACAGGUUGAGAGAUGCUGGGGGCUUGUUCCUCAUGGCUGACGAGUGCUCAGGCUGUGACACCUACACAGGCGGGGUGUCCUGCUUCCCUGUCUGUCUGUCUGUCUGACCCUUCAGGAGCAUUUCAAACCCCUCAGCCAGGUGGGAAAGCAGAGAUCUGGGCUGCCAAAUUCCUACAGGAACGAGGUGACCAUUCCUGGAGCAGGCAAUGGCCGUGCCCAGAGCUGCAGGAUGCUCUGAGCUGCCGGGAGGGCGGGCAGGGGUUGGCACUGCCGGUGUCACCACGGGCACUGCACAGAGCUCUGACAUUCCCAGGGCUGGUUAUCACCAUUUCCUGCUCCCCCAGGAAUGCAGGGCCCGGGCUGGAUGCCACCAUCCCGCUGGCUCCGUGGUGCCAGGGCUGGAGCCACGGCUGCCACCUGAAAGGGAACCGCUGGCACUGCCACCCCCGCUCGGUGUCACCGGCUGGCACAGGGGACAGCGGCCUGAUCCGGGCAGGAAUGAGGAACACCAUGCCCCAGAGGAGGCAGCAGGAUUAUUUACAGCACCAAAAUGAAGGCUGGAAUGCAGGAAGGCUUCGGGAGGUUCGAGCUGCCCCCGUGGCUCGGCAGCGCGGGGGCGUUUGGGGCCCUUCGGCUCUCGGGGCUGGGAGAGGCUCUGGGGUUUUGGGGUUUAUCUCUGGGGGAAUUGCUGGGUCACAGCUCCUUCCUCAGGGCUUUUCCAGCCUGCCCCAGCCCUGUGGGGACAUCUCCAGAGGCAAGGGAAGGGCCACGCCGCUGCUGGGACCGUGUCACCUGCGUGUGUCUGUGGGGUCAGCCCUGUCACCGCCUCUUCUUCACAGGGGAGCUCCUCCCGGGGCUGCAGCAGCAGGGUUGGCACGGGCACACCCCCAAAUUGAAGGAUUUGUGGGGUGAGACACUCUGGCUUGGGGAGCAGAGCGCGUUUGGCUGGUCAGAGCCAACCCUACCAAUCCAAAUUUCUGUCUGGAGCACCACAAGGAUCUCCAGAGGAAUCAUCACCCCCAAAAAACCCUGCCCAGCCCACAGAGAGCACCUGGCACACACCUGGGCAGUGUGCCCUCACCUGGGACUGGCCCGUGCUCUCUGGACAACCCCCAGGUCACCUUGAGCAAGGGCUGUUAUCUUAUUUGUAAAAUAGGUGUAGGAUAUCUGCCAGAUGCUGGGGAGCUCCAAAUCUGCUCAGCAAGGUCUGCCCGAGGCCUAGGGACACCAGCAGCUCCUGGGGCUAGGUGGGAGCAGCCCCAGCAUCAAAAAUUCCUGCCCUUGGAGCAGCCCUGAAGUGUUGGGGGCCCCCAGGCCAAGGGGUGCCAGUGGAGCAUCCAAUUCUCCUGGAAUUUGGGCUGGGGGCUGGCUCCAGGCAUUGCCUCCCCCACCCCUCAAGGCUUCCUCUGACCCAGCAAAGUCAACCCAAAUGAGGUUUUUUCACUUAAACCAUUGAAUUCCUGUGAAGGGAGGUUUCCCAAUCUGAAAAAAAAAAAAAA
ensembl:lncRNA